UACGGAGGGUGCGAGCGUUGUCCGGAAUCAUUGGGCGUAAAGGGCGCGUAGGCGGUUUGUUAAGUCAGCUGUGAAAGCCCGGGGCUCAACCCCGGAGGGUCAGCUGAUACUGGCAGACUAGAGUACAGAAGAGGUAACUGGAAUUCCCGGUGUAGCGGUGAAAUGCGUAGAUAUCUGGAGGAAUACCGGUGGCGAAGGCGGCAUCCUGGACCGGCAUUGACGCUGAUGAGCGAAAGCUAGGGGAGCAAACAGG
rnacentral:rRNA from 1 species